AAAGCGACAGUGGAGAUUCUGUUUUUUAAGAAUCAGAUCCACGAAUUUUGGAUAUGUCAAACGAUGGACUUUUUCGUCCUUUUCAACAGCUACAGAUUUCAAUGAGGACAAUAAAGGAGCAUAAGAUCGAGAGAAUACCUAAGAAGAGACACUGCCACUGUGGUACAGAAACUGUAUGCCAAUUCAAUUGGCAUACAGGGAGUAAUUGAAUUGACCUGGAUCUAUGGAAUCUUAGGUGAGUACUAUAACUUACACCUUAUUUUCCUAGUCAGAAAUACAUAUAUUUUAAUUUCUAAUUUACAGAGUUUCAAAAAUUAAAUGGAAGAAUAUAUACGGAGCACCGGUAUACAAUUCACAUCCAAAAGAAAGCAAUCAAAUUAUUCCUUAAAAUAGAAAUUGAUACCCAAAGCCCAAAUCUGGCACGCAGAUGAGUUUCCUUUACUCAUAAAUUAGUUGUCAAGGGUUCAAAAUUGAGAGGGAAUUUACAUUUAAAACUCCAGUUUUCCGGUUUCUCUCGACAAAAAUCACAAUGUCUGGCAACACCAUAUUUCCAAUGGCAGCAGUUUGAGUCAGUAGUUGUUAUCCCUUUAGUGCAGUCACCAGCUCAUUAGAGUCCCAGCCUUAUUUUACCAGGAACCUCCUUGACCCCUUUCUUGGUUUGCUUCAUUUGUUCUGAUCACCUGCCUGAACUCAGUAGUUCUUGAGAUUGGAAACUCUACUCCAAGACUCCUGUUACAUUUAUCCAAUACAAGAUUUUCAGCUAUCAACUUAACUCAUAUAAAAUAAGUUUUAUGAAAUAAGAUGUUGGAUGGUGAUGGUGAUGGCAAUCCCUUUGAAAAUGUUAUUGCCGGGCAUGGUGGCUCACUCCUGUAAUCCCAGCACUUUGGAGGCUGAGGCAGGUGGCUCAUUUGAGGUCAGGAGAUCAAAACCAUCCUGGCCAACGUGGUGAAACCCCGUCUCUACUAAAAAUACAAAAAUUAGCUUGCCGUGGUGGUGGGUGCCUGUAAUCCCAGCUACUUGGGAGGCUGAGGCAGGAGAAUUGCUUGAACCUGGGAGGCGGAGGUUGCAGUGCGCCGAGAUCGUGCCAUUUCACUCCAGCCUGGGUGAUGAGAGCAAAACUCUGUCUCAAAAAUAAAAUAAAAUAAAAUAAAAUUUUAUCAUAUGACCAUCAAACAAGAUGCCAUGGUGGGUCCCUGCCCUCACUUUUACUGCCUAAGUAGUUAGAGACCACACUCCAACCUCAGUGUUUCUAAGGGAUCUAUGGUUGCCAUCCAACCAAAUAUUUCCCACUCCAACCCCAUAAAUAUGGCCUAAAAAGAGACCCAUGAGACCUCCAUAUUGAGAGAAACCACUGUAAUCCCAGUGGAUGUUGAGAUCCAGGAGAGAAAAUAGUAAAUGAAAACACAGGACUGACUCCUAUUAUUUAACUGACAGGCCUCCAGUUGUGGAAGAUGAUUUAGGGAUCAGGAAUUGUUUUGCAGUAUGCCCUAAAGGGACAGAGAAGAAUUCUUAGGGCUUGCAAAAUGUGAUUUGAAAGCCAUAGAUCUAGCCCAGUAUCUGUGGUAUACAGGGAGUAAUUGAAUCUCAGGAAGAGAAGGAGCUUGCCCGAAUUACAAGAAUUAGAACUCAGUUCUCUUGAAUCUGUUUGGCAACUUUGCAGGCACACAGGACUACAUUCAGUUGCAUCAAUGGGAUACUAGGAAGUUCAGUUCACCCAUGUUGAAUGAUCAACUAAAAAAUAUGAUCUAAAAUGCACAACCUUUACAAGAGACAUUUCACUGAUUUAUUUUUCAUGACUCCAAGUUUACAAUCUGAAUUUAAAAGAACCAACUUUUCAAACCAACCAGACUUUCAGGGUUUGAACAUAUAAUUUGAUCAUGAGACAGAAACAGAAUAAGCAUGGGUAUCCUUGUUUUAUAAUGUAAAAAAAAUCACUAGUACUUGAAACAUACUUAUUAAGUAAAAUAUAUUUUUAAAAACUAGUGCUGUUUUUUAAAUAAAAGCUGCUAGAGUAAUCAAUCACAUUCCAGAUAUUUAUUUGUCAUUUUCCAGCCUGAACAUUUGUGCCAAACUUCCUCAGCCUGCAGUGUCCCGGUGGUGAUUCAUCUAGAGGCAGCAAGUAUCUAAGUUAGGACAGUGAAGUAGGCUGUGUUUCCAUUUCCUAAUCCAAAUUAUUUUUGUUUCAAAGACUAACUUCUUUUAGAUCUCUGGCUAAAAUUCAUGUCCUCCCUAACCUUAUUCUCCUGACCAGGACACCUGCUGCUCAGGGAUUUUUCUUUCUCUUUGCUUUGAGGAGGACAACAGCAAGUUCCUACUAUAUACUAAGUUCCAGAAAGGGCAUGAUCUGUACCCACUGUCAGAUUGCACAUCAGGAUUCCAGUUUCAUGGGCUCUCUCAUCCACAGAAUGUGAGGAUACAUUCAGCAAAUA
rnacentral:lncRNA from 1 species